UACGUAGGGGGCAAGCGUUGUCCGGAAUCAUUGGGCGUAAAGAGCGCGUAGGCGGCCCUGUAAGUCCGCUGUGAAAGUCAAGGGCUCAACCCUUGAAUGCCGGUGGAUACUGCAGGGCUAGAGUCCGGAAGAGGCGAGUGGAAUUCCUGGUGUAGCGGUGAAAUGCGCAGAUAUCAGGAGGAACACCGAUGGCGAAGGCGGCUGCCUGGCCUGUUCUUGACGCUGAGGCGCGAAAGCUAGGGUAGCAAACGGG
rnacentral:rRNA from 1 species